rnacentral:misc_RNA from 1 species
GAAAUGCGAUAAGUAGUGUGAAUUGCAGAAUUCAGUGAAUCAUCGAAUCUUUGAACGCACAUUGCGCCCUAUGGUAUUCCGUAGGGCACGCCUGUUCGAGCGUCAUUUACACCUUCAAGCCUUGCUUGGUGUUGGGUGACUGUGGCCCCUUUGGGGCCACUCGCCUUAAAGUCAUUGGCGGCCGGUUCGUUGGCUUUGUAGCGCAGCACAAUUGCGUCCUCGAAGCCGCUGGACCAGCUCCCAGAAGCUAAUUUUAAAUGUUUGACCUCGAAUCAGGUAGGGAUACCCGCUGAACUUAAGC